CAAAGGUAAGACAGAAGCUGCCGUACUGGGACCGGUCACCAAGAAGCAGUUUCAACCUGGCCACAUCCUCUUGCUCCCCCACAAGCCCACUCAAAGCCAUGUAGUACUCACCACCUGAGAAGCCAUAGCAACACUCCAGUCUCCUACCAUAGCGACACACACCUGGUUGGUUUCCAGUAAGGACUUGCCUGUAGUGCCUUUGCAGAGGAAGAAGAGGAGUCAAAGGUUUUUCAGAGCAGAAGCACACCAUACAACAUCACACGCUCUGUUGCUUGACUUGAUUGACUUACCUAUAGGCGUCUGUGCUACCAGCAGUGAUGUGGAGCAGGAGAAAAAGAGCACCGACCAAAAGGUUGGCUGUCACUGUGAAAUGACACUGGACUGAGACGGAUGAGGUGGUGACUUCUGGAGGUA